AUCGCUUCUCGGCCUUAUGGCUAAGAUCAAAGUGUAGUAUCUGUUCUUAUCAGCUUAAUAUCUGAUACACUCCUCAUCGAGGAGUCAGAAUAUUAACCUGAUUUUUGGAAACCGACGGAGUGGUCGGGGCUCGCUCCCCCUCUGUCACGGGUCGGCCUGGCAUUGCAGUGCCGCUAGGAAUGGCCCAUUAGUU